AGCAAUACGGGAGUGGCGCACGGGUGAGUAACACGUGGGAAUAUGCCCAGCAGUGGGGGAUAACCGAGGGAAACUUCGGCUAAUACCGCAUACGCCCCUAGGGGGAAAGAUUUAUCGCUGUUGGAUUAGCCCGCGUCCGAUUAGCUAGUUGGUGUGGUAACAGCGCACCAAGGCGACGAUCGGUAGCUGGUCUGAGAGGAUGAUCAGCCACACUGGGACUGAGACACGGCCCAGACUCCUACGGGAGGCAGCAGUGGGGAAUAUUGGACAAUGGGGGCAACCCUGAUCCAGCCAUGCCGCGUGAGUGAAGAAGGCCUUAGGGUUGUAAAGCUCUUUCGGCGGGGACGAUGAUGACGGUACCCGCAGAAGAAGCCCCGGCUAACUCCGUGCCAGCAGCCGCGGUAAUACGGAGGGGGCUAGCGUUGUUCGGAAUUACUGGGCGUAAAGCGCGCGCAGGCGGCUAUUCUAG
rnacentral:rRNA from 1 species